rnacentral:rRNA from 1 species
UGGGGAAUUUUCCGCAAUGGGCGAAAGCCUGACGGAGCAAUGCCGCGUGGAGGUGGAAGGCCUACGGGUCGUCAACUUCUUUUCUCAGAGAAGAAACAAUGACAGUAUCUUAGGAAUAAGCAUCGGCUAACUCUGUGCCNG